ACGCUCGACACCUACGGGAAGCAGCAGUGAGGGAUAUUGGUCAAUGGGGGAAACCCUGAACCAGCAACGCCGCGUGAGGGAUGACGGUCUUCGGAUUGUAAACCUCUGUCCUCUGUGAAGAUAAUGACGGUAGCAGAGGAGGAAGCUCCGGCUAACUACGUGCUAGCAGCCGCGGUAAUCUGAGCGGGCUGGCAAGGC
rnacentral:rRNA from 1 species